UAACUUUACCGUUUUGUCUGCGCUGCGAUCCGCUGCCGUCACACUCUCGGGGUGGGGUUUCUAGUUUAGCUGCGCGGAGAAAAGCGACUGUCUGGUAGAGUGAUGUCACAUAACGAAUAGACGAGAGACCGAACCAGUGACUGAUUGUAAUAGCUGGGGAAAGCGCACCUGUUGAAUAACAGGCUCACAACCAUAUUCCCGUUUUCCGUAUUUCUUCGAAGCUUUUGGCUGCGUUUUAAAAGUUCAGAAUGACGGAUACAAUACUUACCAACGGAAUCAAGGACCGAGCGGGUCAGAAUGGAUAUUUUAAAAAGGUGAGUGAUUUUUAAGUUUUUAUGAUAGAGAUGAUAGCGCGGUUACGCAGGGGACGUUCAUAACGAUGAAUGUGUUACAAACCGUACACUUAUGAAUGGACUCUGUCUGUUAUGAACGCAGUGUUUCUGCUUUCACUGACAUGCAUAGCGGCCUAGUGGAUGUAUUUCUGAUGUUUUUCAUCUCUAUCAAAACAACCGGUGUUGAUGUCUGACGUACUACCUGUUUGAUUAUUGGUUUAUACCCUGUUUUUUUUUAAUACGAUAACGCUAUCUGCGGGUUUUAAUGGGUUUGACUGAUUGUCAGGUGUGGCAGUGGCCACUUAAUGUCAUUGGUCGCUAUCGCAUUGGAACAUACGGCAGUUGGUUGUCAAAGAUCUUCUGGUGAUAUACACUACAGUUCAAACGUUUUAGAAGCGCUUUUCUUUAUUUUAUUCUAUUUUAUACAUUUGUAAAAUAAUUGUGAAGACAUCAAAACUAUGAAAUAACACAUACGGAAUCAUGUAGUAACCCAAAAAAAAGUGUUAAACAAAUCUAAAUAUGUUAUAUUUGAGAUUCUUCAAAUAGCCACCCUUUGCCUUGGUGACAGCUUUGCCCACUCUUGGUAUUCUCUCAACCAGCUUCACCUGGAAUGCUUUUCCAACAGUAUUUUAAGGAGUUUCCCUAUAUGCUUAGCACUUGUUGGAUGCUUUGCCUUCACUCUGCGGUUCAACUCAUCCCAAACAAUCUCAUUUGGGUUGAGGUCGGGUGAUUGUGGAGGCCAGGUCAUCUGAUGCAGCACCCCACUACCCCCCCCACCACACACCAUAACACACAUGCAGAAAUCAUCAGGUUUGAACCAAAAAUUUGGACUCCAGACCAAAGGACAUAUUUCCACAGGUCUAAUGUCGAUUGGUCAUGUUUCUUGGCCCAAGCAAGUGUCUUCUUAUUAUUGGUGUCCUUUAGUAGUGGUUUCUUUGCAGCAAUUUGACCACGAAGGCCUGAUUCACUCAGUCUCCUCUGAACAGUUGAUGUUGAGAUGUGUCUGUUACUUGAACUCUGUGAAACAUUUAUUUGGGCAGUCAUUUCUGAGGCUGGUAACUCUAAUGAACUUUAUCCUCUGCAGCAGAGGGAACUCUGGGUUUUUCUUUCCUGUGGCGGUCCUCAUGAGAGACAGUUUCAUCAUAGCGCUUGAUGGUUUUUGCGACUGCACUUGAAGAAACUUGAAAAGUUCUUGAAAUGUUCCGUAUUGACUUUUCCUUCAUGUCUUAAAGUAAUGAUUGAUUGUCGUUUCUCUUUUCUUAUUUAAGCUGUUCUGGCCAUAAUAUGGACUUGGUCUUUUAUCAAAUAGGGCUAACUAUUGCAUACCACCCCUACCUUGUCACAACACAACUGAUUGCUAAAUCAUUAUGUUAAUAACUAAUGUGGUGAGAUACAAGAAUCGACAUUAAAACAUUGUAGAGAUGUUUGACCUUUUGACUAACACCCUUUAUAUGACCAUUUUCUACCUUAUAGAAUAAUAGUGAAGACAUCAACACUAUGAAAAAACACAUGUAGUAACCAAAACAAUGUAGUAAUCAAAAUAUAUUUUAUAUUUGAGAUUCUUCAAAGUAGCCACCCUUUGCCUUGAUGACAGCUUUGCACAAUCUUGGCAUUCUCUCAACCAGCUUCAUGAGGUAGUCACCUGGAAUGCAUUUCAAUUCACAGGUGCGCCGUGUUUAAAGUUCCUUUGUGGAAUGCAUUUCCUUAAUGUGUUUGAGCCAAAAUAUCUCAAUCUGCUCAACUGAUCACUUGGUCCAUUUAAAGACGGGACCAGGGUGAAAGAACAUAAACCUUAUCCUAUUGCUCCCAUUAUUUUGCUAACAAGAAAGAAACUAUUAGGGAGUAUUGUGUGUGUGUGUGUGUGUGAGUGUAGUGGCCAGCCUAAUGGACCUAUAUCUUACAGCCUACUGUGAAUACAUUAUCAGGUAUUUAUGGAAUGCUUUUAUCUACUGAGGUGUGUGUGCUCCUUCCUGCCUGUGUGUCUGUGGUGUGUGUAUCUUUCUGAGGAACAUCCCCCCCCUUGGAUACCAAGCUGGCGAGGUUUAGAGAGAUAGCUUGGCAGUCUGCUAGAAGAUACCAAACCCUACUGUUACGCUUGUUUACACUGAGCUGCUCAGGAGUCGGAUGCACAAUCAUGUUUCCAUUAACACACUGUGGACUCGGCGAGAGACGUUGUCUCACCCAUAUAUCUCAAUGCAGAGAUGGGAUCUGUCCCAAACUGGAUCUUUAUCCACAGGUUCCACGCUACUCCAUCGAGAAGACUGAAAUACUGCUGGUUUCCCCCGAUAACUGCCCUUUUCGUCGUCAUGCUAGCUAGCAGUAAUGACAGCAGACUGCCAAGCUCUCUCUCUAACCUAGCAGUUCAUCUCAAUGGGCCGGUAACCGAAUGGUCGCUGGUUCAAAUCCCCGAGACGGCAAGAUGGAACAAUCUGCCGUUCUGCCCUUGAGCAAGGUAGUUAACCCCCAACAACAACUGUUCCCUGGGUGCCGAUGACGUCGAUAGUCCCCACCUCACCUCUCUGAUUCAGAGGGGUUGGGUUAAUUGCGGAAGACCCAUUGAGGUUGAAGGCUUUCUGUUGAGCAACUGACUAGGUAUCCCCCUUUUCCCAACUGACUAGGUACCCCCCCUUUUCCCAACUGACUAGGUAUCCCCCUUUUCCCAACUGACUAGGUA
ensembl:lncRNA